rnacentral:sRNA from 1 species
AUUGCCCAAGCCUCCCAGGAGUGACAGGAAUUGUUUCUGCCUGAGGAGACACUCUGCAGCCUGGGCUCUGUGAGACUGAGGUGGCAGUCAGCCGGACUUGAGGAGCGAGGAUGGCAGUCAACAAAGGCCUCACCUUGCUGGAUGGAGACCUCCCUGUAAGUAACUUGGGCUCAUCUGUGACAGGGGAUGGACAACUGAGGGAGGAGGAAGAAGCAGGGAGGGGAGAUGCAGGGGACUUAGGGCAAGAUAUUCCCAGAUUAUAAUCCUAGUUCAUUGACUACCAUGGCUUAGUUAUUCUUGCCCUCACCACCUUUUGUAGGGGGCAGUUGGAGGAUCUGGGAGGGGAAAAAAAGAUGCCUAUUAAAAACUAAGCACCUUGAAAAAAAGGGACAGAAAUCCUGGCUUAGGGACGGGGGGAGUGGAGAGGAAGGAACUACUGUUUAAACCCUGACGCAGAAGCCCAUGCUCUGUCCACCACCCACCUGGAUGUGCAUUCAGUGCAGAGCCACUGCAUUCUGUGUCUCCAGAAUCAUUCAUAACGGCAAAUGUCACCUGUCGGAGUUAGACGGUGCACAGCCUGUGCUGCUGUGUGGGGGGAAGGGUGGGAUAUUCCGUGUGUCUGGUGUUCUAUCUCUGACCUGGUUUUCACUGUGACUUGAAGUGAUUUGAUACUUUUAGGGAUGCUUGAUGGCUCCUGGCAAGGCAUCUCAGAUUUGGGCACAGUUCAGAUAGUGAAACUUAAAAAUUAUGAACCUGUGCAAUAUCCACCUUGCCCAAGUUAGGCUUUUACUAACUCUUGCACUAGGAAUCACUUUGUUUUCUAUUGAAUCAUAGAACAGAGAGAGGCGUAAAAUGGUCAAGUACAUGGUUAAGCCAUUCUAACAGACGGUGGUUUAUUCCCUUCCCAGGAUCUCUUUCCUCCUUCGGUUUUGUCUAAAACAACCUCUGAAGGCUCGUCCAAAAUGUUAAAAAG